rnacentral:rRNA from 1 species
UACGUAGGGGGCAAGCGUUGUCCGGAAUCAUUGGGCGUAAAGAGCGUGUAAGCGGCCUGGUAAGUCCGCUGUGAAAGUCCAGGGCUCAACCCUGGAAUGCCGGUGGAAACUGUCAGGCUCGAGUCCGGAAGAGGCGAGUGGAAUUCCUGGUGUAGCGGUGAAAUGCGUAGAUAUCGGGAGGAACACCAGUGGCGAAGGCGAUCACCUGGGGAUGGUUCGUGACGCUGAGGAGCGAAAGCUAGGGGAGCAAACGGG